UUGUGCAAUGCUUGGGAUUCAGUCUCAGAGAAACACAAUUAUCUGUGUCAUUCAAAAUAUCAAUAGGUUAGCUACUUAAUAUCAUUAGUGAAUCCUAAAAAAUUGUUCUUGCUUUAUAGAGCUAUUUUGAGAAGGCAUUUGAAUUUUUCAAGAAAGCAGUAGAUGAGGUACGUCUUUUUCUUAGUUAUUUUUUAAAUUUGUAAUAAAUUAACUCUUGUUUAUCAUUAUGCGUUAGAGCCUAACUGAACUUUACGGUUUAUACGUUACUCUUCUAGAGUCUAGGGAAUGAGCUAUAUUUGAAGUCCUUGGAAGCCACUGCCAAGGUAUUGUUGUCAGUCCUUUGGCCUAUUCUAUACUCAUUUUUGUUAUAUUUGGUUUGUUCCCUAUGGAAAUUGGAGGUCCAUCUAAUUUGAUGUUAUGGAGUCUUGAUGUGUUGGAAUAUGACUCCGGGGUUGGGUAUACAUAACCGAGAUAUAGUAGCUUUUUCAUAACUUUUACACUCCAGGUAGAGCAAGGUUGGUGUGCAAGUAAUUUUCAAUCAUGGAAAGGAUGAAGGUUUUGCGGAUAAGAGAGGGGGCUCGAAAAAGGGGAUUAUGAGUGCUGACUUUCCAUAUGGUUUGACUCACAUUGGCUACUUCAUAUUGAUUAAAAUAGGUAGCAAAUUUGAAAUCAUGUUGAGGUUAAAUCCUUGAGUUUCACUAGCUUAGUUCAGGUUAAAUGUUCUGGGUGAUAUUAGGUGGCCAAAGUUACCGCUGUCACUUGUUAUUGAUGUAAUGAAAAUCAAUUCGAGGAACCAAUUUGUGGAAAUAUUUUACUUGACAACUGAGAGGCAAAGCUAUUAGCUUGUAUGUCAGCUGAGAGGCAAAGCUAGAUCAUAAUCUCUAAUUAAUUGGUGCACUCUUUAUUAUUCUUGAGAAAUAGAAGCACUGGCAUGGUGAGUAUCCUGAUAAACACCUAUGGGUUUAAAAUUCUGUAGAGAACUACUAAUCUAAUUUGAGCUAUGGUUGCACCUCAAAUCAGAUGACUACACCUGAUUGCCAAUACAUGCUCUUAUAAAUGUUGAGUAAUUAAAUAAAACAUAUGCGGCAGCUUGCUUCUUUACUGACAAGAACAAAUAACCACAAGACACAGAGCCGUCCAACAUCAGCUCCCAAAUUACUGCUUUGUUUUACAAAACUGACCUGCUUUUUACGUGGUUAACAUAUGAGAUGUGAAAUAUGUGUUAACAUUUUACGUGUUAACAUAUAUUUCACAUCAGUAUAGCAGUAUAGCAGGUUAGGGAUAUGUGUUAUAUUUCAUAUUUCAUGUACAACCAACAUAUAUUUCACAUCAGUACACCAUCUUGCUCCUUAAAUAUGUGUUAACAUUUUACGUGGUUAGGAAUUAUGUUAAAAGUCAUUCAUGUGAUUGGUCAGUUAUCUUGCCAUACAUCAGUAUAGCAGGUCAGAUUUGGUAUCCUUGUGAUUUGGUAUCUUUGUUGAAUACUAAAUUUGUUGUUCUUUUAUUUCAGUGGGAUAAGGCAUGUGGAUUAACGUACACACAAGAACAAAUUGACGAAGUACGGGAUGAGUGGGCAAUAUACAUGAGCAGCUAUACGUAGAGCCUCGAGUUAACGGUGAAUAUGUUAGAUGAAUGUACGUAUUUUGGGAGAACUAGGCUUUUUUGCACAUGCUUAGGUAGUAGCUUAAUUUUAUGGAUAGUAUGGUUUAUUUUGUGGAUGCAUG
rnacentral:lncRNA from 1 species